rnacentral:rRNA from 1 species
AUGAAUAGCAGCUUGACGAAGAAUUUCACAGAGAAGGAAAUCGGAGAUGUCCUCUUCCAGAUCGGUCCACUAAAGGCACCGGGACCGGAUGGAUGUCCGGCAAGAUUCUUCCAACGCAAUUGGGACACGUUAAAGGAAGAUGUGAUUGCCACAGUGCAGAGGUUUUUUGCAGACGGAAUUAUGCCUGAAGGAAUAAACGACACAGCCAUAGUGCUCAUUCCCAAAGGCAGAAACCCGCAAAGCCUAAAAGAUUUUCGGUUGAUAAGCCUAUGCAACGUAAUAUAUAAGGUUAUAUCUAAAUGCUUGGUAAAUCAGUUGAGAUCGUUCCUGAAUGAGUUAAUCUCUAAAACGCAAAGUGCUUUCAUCCCGGGGAGAUUGAUCACAGAUAAUGCUAUAAUCGACUUUGAGUGCUUCCACAAAAUACAACACAACAAGAACCCUCACAAUACGCACUGUGCGUACAAGCUGGACCUUGCCAAACCAUACGACAGGGUGGACUGGGAUUUCCUUGAAGGUGCCUUGGAGAAGAUGGGCUUCAGUGUAGUGUGGAUCAGCUGGAUAAUGAAAUGUGUGAAGUCCGUCGGGUUCUCUGUAAAGUUAAAUGGGGAAUUACUAGAAGCCUUCUGCCCAUCAAGGGGUCUCCGACAAGGCGAUCCGCUAAGCCCAUACAUGUUCCUAUUCGUCGCUGAUGGUCUGGCUGCCAUUUUUAAUAGAGCGGUCCAAGGAGGAAACAUCUCACCGGUGAAAGUGGCACGCAAUAGCCCGGGUAUCUCAAACCUGCUAUUCGCGGAUGACAGCCUAGUGUUCUUUAAGGCUUCGAGUGACCAAGCUUGUGAGGUGAAAAGGCCCUUACAAUGUUCCAAAAAUGUACGGGACAACUCUUGA